UACGGGGGGGGCAAGCGUUGUUCGGAAUUACUGGGCGUAAAGGGCGCGUAGGCGGCUUGAUAAGGUUGCGGUGAAAGCCCGGGGCUCAACCCCGGGUCGGCCGUGGCAACUGUCGAGCUGGAGCACUGUAGAGGCAGGUGGAAUUCCGGGUGUAGCGGUGGAAUGCGUAGAGAUCCGGAAGAACACCGGUGGCGAAGGCGACUCUCUGGGCUGUAACUGACGCUGAGGCGCGAAAGCGUGGGGAGCAAACAGG
rnacentral:rRNA from 1 species